rnacentral:rRNA from 1 species
GAUGAACGCUGGCGGCGUGCUUAACACAUGCAAGUCGAACGGGGUGCUCAUGACGGAGGAUUCGUCCAACGGAUUGAGUUACCUAGUGGCGGACGGGUGAGUAACGCGUGAGGAACCUGCCUUGGAGAGGGGAGUAACACUCCGAAGGAGUGCUAAUACCGCAUAAUAGCAGUUGGGUUCGGCAUGGCGUCGGACGUGCCAAACGAAUUUAUUCGCUCUGAGAUGGCC